rnacentral:rRNA from 1 species
AGUGAACGCUGGCGGUAGGCCUAACACGUGCAAGUCGAACGGCAGCACAGUAAGAGCUUGCUCUUACGGGUGGCGAGUGGCGGACGGGUGAGGAAUACAUCGGAAUCUACUUUUUCGUGGGGGAUAACGUAGGGAAACUUACGCUAAUACCGCAUACGACCUACGGGUGAAAGCAGGGGAUCUUCGGACCUUGCGCGAUUGAAUGAGCCGAUGUCGGAUUAGCUAGUUGGCGGGGUAAAGGCCCACCAAGGCGACGAUCCGUAGCUGGUCUGAGAGGAUGAUCAGCCACACUGGAACUGUGACACGGUCCAGACUCCUACGGGAGGCAGCAGUGGGGAAUAUUGGACAAUGGGCGCAAGCCUGAUCCAGCCAUACCGCGUGGGUGAAGAAGGCCUUCGGGUUGUAAAGCCCUUUUGUUGGGAAAGAAAAGCAGCAGGUUAAUACCCCGCUGUUCUGACGGUACCCAAAGAAUAAGCACCGGCUAACUUCGUG